UACGUAGGGGGCAAGCGUUGUCCGGAAUCAUUGGGCGUAAAGAGCGUGUAGGCGGCCUUAUAAGUCGGCUGUGAAAGUCAAGGGCUCAACCCUUGAAUGCCGGUGGAUACUGUCGGGCUCGAGUCCGGAAGAGGCGAGUGGAAUUCCUGGUGUAGCGGUGAAAUGCGCAGAUAUCAGGAGGAACACCAUGGCGAAGGCAGCUCGCUGGGACGUGACUGACGCUGAGACGCGAAAGCGUGGGGAGCAAACAGG
rnacentral:rRNA from 1 species